CAACGAGUAAAAUAAAUAAUUGAAGAAAAGGUUUUAGCUUCUCUGCGGAAGGCAGAACUACCAUUAAACAAUAUUUCAACCUUUUUUUCACUUACUCAAAUUUCUCGAGAAUUCACGGCCCCAUAUUGUUUGUUGCCUCUUCGUAUCGAUUCAAUUAUUUGCGAUCAAUUGCUCCAAAUUCAACCAAUUCCAUCUAAAUAGUGGAUUUGAGCUGAGAUUCAAGGAGCUUGCAGACGAAUAAAGGAGUAGAUUUGAAGUGAAAGAGUACACCGAGUUGAAUUCCGUUGAAGUGAGCCUCGACUUGUUUCUCAAUUGUUGCGUUUUGGGAAUUCCUUAUAUUUUCUCGCUGAAGACUCGAAGUUAAGGUGUUUGUGUUUUUGCCUCUGAGAAAGUGAUUUUUGCCUCUGAACUGUUGUCGAAAGUUCAAAGUGAGAUUUUGAAUGCCUCCCUUCAUUGAUUAUUAGAUUGGAGGAGCCGUAAUGGAAGUCAUGAGCAAGUUCUUAAUUGCAUCGAUACUUAUGUGGACCGUGCCUAUUGCAGUAUUAUACGGGUUUAACCAUAAUUUAUUCCCUGGUUCAGCUAGCUUGUCCGCGGAGUCCCUGACACUGUGGAGUGGAAUCCUUGCAGUGGUCUCCGUAAAUGUGGUUAUUGUGCUCUACAUCAUCUCAGCCAUGAGAGAGCCAUCCUCGGACAAACACGAGCCUGAUCCUAGAUUCCUAGCAGAUGCAAAGGCUAGCAUAAAGCAGCAGCCGGGACCAACUGAAGUCGACUCAUCAUCAGACCGUGCAAAACAAGAAUAGCUGAUGUUAACUGAGUACGAGGUAAUUUCAGCUCUGAUUUCUGAAAGAACCCUAGACAAACGAGCAGCGAGAUUAUCGAUAGUUUCAACCUGCUUCUCUUCCAUGAUCAGAGUUUGUGUAUGAGCCAAGAAGUCUGAGUUUUUGGUCUUAAAUUGCAUUUGCCCUUGUUUUUUUAUUCUUUUUUUUUUUCCCGAGAAUUUUCUUGAUUAUUACUCCAUUUGGAUAUAGAGUUCAGUUACCACUCGGCAUUUUUGUAGUUGAUAUUUAUAAAAAUUGAUGACUUAUUGGACUUUCAUUCCU